rnacentral:rRNA from 1 species
GAUGAACGCUGGCGGCAUGCUUUACACAUGCAAGUCGAACGGUAACAGGUUAAGCUGACGAGUGGCGAACGGGUGAGUAAUGCAUCGGAACGUGCCCGGUCGUGGGGGAUAACACUUCGAAAGAAGUGCUAAUACCGCAUACGAUCUGAGGAUGAAAGCGGGGGACCGUAAGGCCUCGCGCGAUCGGAGCGGCCGAUGUCAGAUUAGGUAGAGGGUGGGGUAAAGGGACACCAAGCCGACGAUCUGUAGCUGGUCUGAGAGGACGACCAGCCACACUGGGACUGAGACACGGCCCAGACUCCUACGGGGGGCAGCAGUGUGGAAUUUUAGACAAUGGGCGAAAGCCUGAUCCAGCAAUGCCGCGUGCAGGAAGAAGGCCUUCGGGUUGUAAACUGCUUUUGUACGGAGCGAGAAGGCUCUCUCUAAUACAGGGGGCUCAUGACGGUACCGUAAGAAUAAGCACCGGCUAACUACGUGCCAGCCGCCGCCGUAA